rnacentral:rRNA from 1 species
GUGAACGCUGGCGGUAGGCCUAACCCAUGCAAGUCGAACGGCAGCACAGUAAGAGCUUGCUCUUACGGGUGGCGAGUGGCGGACGGGUGAGGAAUACAUCGGAAUCUACUUUUUCGUGGGGGAUAACGUAGGGAAACUUACGCUAAUACCGCAUACGACCUACGGGUGAAAGCAGGGGAUCUUCGGACCUUGCGCGAUUGAAUGAGCCGAUGUCGGAUUAGCUAGUUGGCGGGGUAAAGGCCCACCAAGGCGACGAUCCGUAGCUGGUCUGAGAGGAUGAUCAGCCACACUGGAACUGAGACACGGUCCGGACUCCUACGGGAGGCAGCAGUGGGGAAUAUUGGACAAUGGGCGCAAGCCUGAUCCAGCCAUACCGCGUGGGUGAAGAAGGCCUUCGGGUUGUAAAGCCCUUUUGUUGGGAAAGAAAAGCAGCAGGUUAAUACCCCGCUGUUCUGACGGUACCCAAAGAAUAAGCACCGGCUAACUUCGUG